AGUUUUGAGGACAUCUGCUGAAGGGGUUUUCACGACUGGCACAUCGGAUCCAGAGUCUACAUUAUUAUUAACAAUUAUCCUGGAGAAAAACUAAUGAGGGAGACCAUCAGGACCAAGCUGUGUUUCCUGGGUGCAGAGGUUUCCUUCAUCACAGCUGUCCCGUGCCAGAUGUUGUGUUGACUCACUGACAGACAUCAUUUCAGAAACCUCAGGAAGACUGAAGCUCACCGCAAGGAUCAAGGAGGGCUCAUAAACUUUACCAGCAACUUCAGACCUCAACCAUAGGCUCACCCCAUAACAUGGACAAACCCAGCACCUCAUGAACAGUGUGAUACUGACCUUUGCUUUUUGUAAUGUUAGAAAUACUCACAUCAUCCUCAUAUAAUGCAAAGAGGCUCUCAACUUUUAAAAAUGUUAUAUUCAGUCC
ensembl:lncRNA